UAAAUAGAGAGAGAGAAGGAAAGAAAGUCGGAUUACUAUAUUUUUAUGAGUACAAUUAUAUUCGUACUCAUAAGUCGUUUUCAAUGAUUGAGCUUCCGGAUCGAGGAUUUAUACCGUUAAAUAUGAUUUAGAGUAUUUGAAACUUCUAGAAAUCAAAUUUCAUAAUUUUUCAAUAUCAAUUACCUUACGAUCGAAAGAUUUCAAAAUUAAUAUUUUUUAACGGUUAAUAUGAAAUACUUGUUAGUUUAAUAGUAUAAAAGAAUUAAAAUUAAUUAAAUUUUUGAUAAAAAAGUUUCAUUUACUAUCUAGAUAAAGAACAAUAACUCCGAUUUUAAAUUGAAGGAUCGAAUCAUCCAUUUUUAGAAAGUCAUUAAAUUUUGACUAUUCAUUUUAUAUCUGCUUGGUGGACUUUAUUUUAAUUUUGAAAAAUUAUAAAAUUUAUUUUCUACAAAUUUCAAAUGCUAAAUCAUAUUUAACGGUGUGAAUUGCCGAUUAGGAAGCUUCAUUAUUAAAAAUGACUUAUAAGUACAAAAAACUUUAUUCUUAUUAGAGUAUAUAUGAAGUAGUAUAUGAGUCUACUACUAUACUUUUAUAAGUAUAGAUCUCUUUGUACUUAUAAGUUUUUAGCCGUUAGAUCUACCUUUUUUACCAUUUCCAUCCAAUAGAUCAUACUAUUCAAUCAACCACCCACUCAACCCUAGAGGAUCACUAUAUAUCAUUCUAAUCAGAAACCACUAUCAUUCUAACCGCACAUCACUUUAUCCAACGAUCGAAAAUUUAUAAGUAUAAAAAGGUCAUAAGAGUAUAGUAGCCCUACUAUAUAUAUAUAGAGAGAGAGAGAGAGAGAAAGAGCUAGAGAGGGACUCAAAUUUUAAUAGGGUUAAUUUCAUAUAGGCUCCUCCAAAUAUAUUCUUACAAAAUUUAAUUUUCAUAUAUUAAUAUUCCUGUAAAAAUUCUGAUUUUUUCAAAUAUGGACUCUGCUUUAUUACCGUUAGAAAAUCGUUAAAAAACUGUUUAUAUUUUCAACUUUACUAUCAUAAAUAUGUCUCUCCAAAAGUCAUGACAGUAUAAUAUAAGAGGAGUAAAAAUAUUAAAAACUAAUUAGGAUUAAGUAUUUAAUCUAUGAUUAACUUAAAUUUUCUAAUGGAUUCUAACGGUAAAGAUAUAUUUAAAAAUAUCAAGAUUUUACAAGGACAAUAUAUAAAAAUUAAAUUUUAUAAAAAUAAAUUUAUCAUCCAUUAUAUUUCUAUUUAAUAAUAUAAGUCGUGCAACUGAGAAUAACAUGUAUUAGUUCUUUGUUCGCGUGGUGCAAUUGUAAAUUCAAACAGUGGAGGAGGCCAAGGAAAGUGUCGAC
rnacentral:lncRNA from 1 species